rnacentral:rRNA from 1 species
GACGAACGCUGGCGGCGUGCUUAACACAUGCAAGUCGAACGGAAAGGCCUCUUUCGGGGGGUACUCGAGUGGCGAACGGGUGAGUAACACGUGAGUAACCUGCCCUUGACUUUGGGAUAACUUCAGGAAACUGGGGCUAAUACCGGAUAGGAGCUCCUGCUGCAUGGUGGGGGUUGGAAAGUUUCGGCGGUUGGGGAUGGACUCGCGGCUUAUCAGCUUGUUGGUGGGGUAGUGGCUUACCAAGGCUUUGACGGGUAGCCGGCCUGGGAGGGUGACCGGCCACAUUGGGACUGAGAGACGGCCCAGACUCCUACGGGAGGCAGCAGUGGGGAAUAUUGCACAAUGGGUGGAAGCCUGAUGCAGCAACGCCGUGAGCGGGAUGACGGCUUUCGGGUUGUAAACCGCUUUCGCUCAUGACGAAGCUUUGUGUGACGGUAGUGGGUAAAGAAGCACCGGCUAACUACGUG